rnacentral:rRNA from 1 species
GGAUUUAUUGGGCGUAAAGAGCUCGUAGGCGGUCUAAUAAGUCGGGUGUGAAAACUCUGGGCUCAACCCGGAGACGCCAUCCGAUACUGUUAUGACUUGAGUUCAGGAGGGGAGCGGGGAAUUCCUAGUGUAGCGGUGAAAUGCGCAGAUAUUAGGAGGAACACCGGUGGCGAAGGCGCCGCUCUGGA